UACGAAGGGGACUAGCGUUGCUCGGAAUCACUGGGCGUAAAGCGCACGUAGGCGGAUUGCUAAGUCAGGGGUGAAAUCCUGGAGCUCAACUCCAGAACUGCCUUUGAUACUGAAGAUCUUGAGUUCGGGAGAGGUGAGUGGAACUGCGAGUGUAGAGGUGAAAUUCGUAGAUAUUCGCAAGAACACCAGUGGCGAAGGCGGCUCACUGGCCCGAUACUGACGCUGAGGCACGAAAGCGUGGGGAGCAAACAGG
rnacentral:rRNA from 1 species